rnacentral:rRNA from 1 species
CUUGGUCAUUUAGAGGAAGUAAAAGUCGUAACAAGGUCUCCGUAGGUGAACCUGCGGAGGGAUCAUUACAGAGAACAUUGCCCUCACGGGUGACUCUCCAACCCUAUGUUAUUUAAACCUUUGUUGCUUUGGCGAGCCGCUUCGGCCACCGGCUUUUGCUGGUGCGCGCUCGCCAGAGGACCACAAACUCUGUUUAUUAGUGUCGUCUGAGUACUAUAUAAUAGUUAAAACUUUCAACAACGGAUCUCUUGGUUCUGGCAUCGAUGAAGAACGCAGCGAAAUGCGAUAAGUAAUGUGAAUUGCAGAAUUCAGUGAAUCAUCGAAUCUUUGAACGCACCUUGCACCCUUUGGCAUUCCGAAGGGUAUGCUCGUUUGAGUGUCAUUGUACUCUCACACUCCCAAUACUUUUGGAUUGGGAGCGGUGGACUUGGGUGUUUGCUGCUUUACUGUGGCUCACCUCAAAUGGAGUAGUGCAACUCUCGGUUGGACAUAGUACGGCGUGAUAAGUGUCUUCGCCGGCGCCUCAUUAGAGGGUGGCCGAUCGGGAGCUCUGUGCUUCAAACCGUCUUCGGACAACAUCUGACAACUUGACCUCAAAUCGAGUAGGACUACCCGCUGAACUUAAGCAUAUCAAUAAGCGGAGGA